rnacentral:rRNA from 1 species
GAUGAACGCUGGCGGCGUGCCUAAUACAUGCAAGUCGAGCGAACGGACGAGAAGCUUGCUUCUCUGAUGUUAGCGGCGGACGGGUGAGUAACACGUGGAUAACCUACCUAUAAGACUGGGAUAACUUCGGGAAACCGGAGCUAAUACCGGAUGAUAUUUUGAACCGCAUGGUUCAAAAGUGAAAGACGGUCUUGCUGUCACUUAUAGAUGGAUCCGCGCUGCAUUAGCUAGUUGGUAAGGUAACGGCUUACCAAGGCAACGAUGCAUAGCCGACCUGAGAGGGUGAUCGGCCACAAUGGAACUGAGACACGGUACAGACUCCUACGGGAGGCAGCAGUAGGGAAUCUUCCGCAAUGGGCGAAAGCCUGACGGAGCAACGCCGCGUGAGUGAUGAAGGUCUUCGGAUCGUAAAGCUCUGUUAUUAGGGAAGAACAUAUGUGUAAGUAACUGUGCACAUCUUGACGGUACCUAAUCAGAAAGCCACGGCUAACUACGUG